rnacentral:lncRNA from 1 species
UUCACUGGUUUAUAUUUUCCAGGAUUUUUCUCCAGGUUCUUCCAGGUGAUCAAACCUCUGUGUGUGUGAGUGUGUGGUGAUGCUGGGGUCAAGUACAAGCAGAGGUCCAGAAUAAACUUUCACAGUGACAGCAGACAGCUUUAUGACCUCAUCCAUGACCUUACAUAAUUCAUGGGACACGUCCCUCCUCUUAUGGCUUUACUUCAUCCUUCAUCCAUCGUAUUACAAUAACACAAGUAUUAUUGUCCUUUCUGCAUGUGAAUGCAGCACAGACAGACAACAAACACGAGGACAACAAGCCCUGAGAUAGAGUUCAAUGAGGUCACAUGAUGCAGGUGUGACGGAGACCAUGCACAGACAACAUGAGGCAUGUUUUACAACAUUCAUAUUGAAAGUCUCAUUAUGAAGCAUGACAACAGACAUGUACAUGAAGUGUUCAAAUCGCACAUUUCUUUUUGCUCUUCUUUUUUUUUAUUUGUGUGUUGAGCCAAAACAAAGUCUCAGCAUCAGAACUCAUCUGACUCAUAUCAGUCAGCUCUUUUGCAUCCAUUAAAUUGAAACAUCAAGUUUUGAAAAUGUACUGCUUCUCUCAGUGGUUUCUUUUUCCUGCCUAUCCUCAUUAUCUUGUCAUUUAUUGCAUGUAGGUUGUACCAUCAUUUAUCCUGUAAUAAACAGAUCAUUUAUUUUUCUAAAUUCUCUUCAGUUAGUGUUCUUCCAGAAGUGAAGUCCCUGAAAUGAGAAUUUCAGCUUGAGAUAUGAGAUUGAUUAAUUUAAGAUUGACUUAAUGUUUGAUUUCUGAAUUAAACUUUUUUUUCUCUUUAUUUUUCCACCCUUAAGGGUGGGUGGUGCUCCUUUCAAUGAGUGCAUAAAUGUCAUAAUUUAAGAUAAUUAAUCUUAAGACAUUUAUUAUAAAUUCAAAUCACUACAUGAGUAUAUUUGUAUUCUCUAUAUUUUCAGUGUUAAGUGGAAUAUUCAUCAUUUCUCCUUCAUAUAUUAAUUAAAUUAUAAAUAAUGUAUAUAAAUCCCACAUUUCAGUUUCAUUCACUUUCUGUAACACAAUUUUAUGAGAGGUACAAAAUAAACAGGUCUGACUACAUAAAACAUUUACUGUAUUUAAUUGUAACUGCGCUUAACUGUUGGCUCAACUGAGAACCAGCAUCUUUCAUCACAUGAUUUAACACUGCCAUCUGCUGGAAAAUGACAGCACUAGGCUGUGUGGAGAGGAGGAAAAAAACUCAUGUUCAACUGAGACUGAGUAAAUGGUUUACACAGGCUUUGCUGGAUGAUAUUUGAUUUUAGUCAUUAUUAGGCUGAUAUAAGAACUGUGUUUUUGACAGAGUGAAAGGAAUUAGGCUUUGGAUGUUGGAGUGGGACGGAUAACAUUAAAUGUGUGAUUAUGAAAUCUUGAAAAUAUGACUUGCUCACUGUUAUCUUAGAGUUAUCUAACAUUGACUUUAGGUAAAAAUUCCUCUAGCACAGGAAACAGUAAGGUAGAUUUCUUUAUUUGGAUCAGUGAAGCUUCCAGAUCAGAAAUAAUGGAAUUAAGAAUACUUUUAACAUCGUAGGAACAGCAGGUUCGACUUAUUUUUUCAACUAGAGGUGACUAUAGGUUAAUACAUAUUGGAAAGGCUUUUGGAUUAGGCAGCAGUAGGACUCAAUAGACUUCUCAAAAAGAGGCAGAGGACUGCAAGGCCUUCAAAAUUCAGAAGCAAUGGAAUAAAAGAGCCUUCCAAGGAAAUCAAUUUUGACUGUUAGUUGGUAGGAUUAACACAUUUCUACACAAAAAGGACCAAGGAUUAAACUAAAAACUAGAAGCAGCUACUACUACUAACUACUUAAGCAGCUGUCAGAGUGAGGCAACUUCUAGAUUAUGGAGGCGUGAAAUCAUCACUCCUCUGAACAAUACAGCAGCAGGACUGAAAAUAGCUCUAGAUCGGUCUCUGGAGAUGUGAAGUGUGUUUGAAGUUGGUCAUAGCGUAAAAGAAAAAACAGAAAACAUGACUAACUCUUGUGCUGGAAAAAAAACAGCAACAACGUCAUAAGAGCUUGAUUGUUUUUUAAUCUGCAUAUAUUCUGAAACAGUUAUGAGUAUAUCAAUCAUUAAUGUGACACUAUGAAUAUUAAUUGAGAAUUCAAGUGAUCAGUGAUUACAAGAAAUCCAAAAGUGUCUAAUGUUCUCUUUGAUUUCACAAGGACGACAGAUUUCCAAGGAUUAAUGAAUAACACUUUAACUGACAUCCAACAUAUCCACAAUAAAAAUGUAUAAUAGUAUAGAAAAAAAGUGAAAUUAUUACAUUUUGAGUAGUUUAAUUCAUUUCAGCCUCCAUUCAUAUAUAACAACUAGUUAUAACUUUAUAAAUGCAAAAGUUCUGUAUAGUUGAAAGUUUUUGAAAAGUCUCUGGAUAUUAAUUAUCCCUUUCAUAAUGACUGACAGAGGGAUUUAAUGUAUGACUUUAAAAAAUGAUUAAAACAAAAACGAAACAAUCACGUUGAGUAAAUUUCAUGAAGUGGUUCAUAAAAAUGUGAUUUCAGAAUUAAACACAUGAAACUUAAAAAGAAAAAGACAUUAAUGUCACUAAAGUAAGGUUGAAAAUCAAAAACAAUAGGAUAAUCAUCAUAUAAAUUACCUCAUAUUAUUCAUGGAUAAUUUUUCGAAAUCAUUUCUUGCUUCUCAGAUUAUCUGCAGUGAGCUGACUGAGGCUCAGAUUCUGAAGUGGAAUGCCACAUUUGGAGGAGAGGAUUUCUAUAAGUUUGUCAUCCUCGCUGCCUGAUUCAUCGUUCAUUUCAAACUCAUCCAUAUCAGUUUUGAGAACCUUUCUCUUUGACUUGAGUUCCUCUGAAUGGAUGUUGCUCAGUUGUUCCUCCCGCUGCUCUUUGGCUUGUUGGAGUGAGUCCUGUAAUCUUUGAUUCAGUUCUUCUCUCCUCUUUUCUUCAGCCUCUCUCCUUCGCCUCUCUUCUUCUCUUCUUCUCUCCUCUUCUUGCCUUCUCCUCUCUUCUUCUCUUCUCCUCUCCUCUUCUUGCCUCCUCCUCUCUUCUUCUCUUCUCCUCUCCUCUUCUUGCCUCCUCCUCUCUUCUUCUCUUCUCCUCUCCUCUUCCUGCCUCCUCCUCUCUUCUUCUCUUCUCCUAUCUGUUCGGCUGAUAAAAGCAACUGGCGCAUUGGUACAUAUUAUCGUGGCCUACUUCUCUGAAGUAUUCACCUCCAUUGAACACGUAUACACAGAUUCCAUGAAUAGUGGCUUGGUAAAGGUUGUCAAAGUUUGUACACGGAGGCAGGAUGCAGCUACAUUUGUAACAUCUUAGACUGCCUCCCAUGUUAGCCUCUGAUGGUACGUUCCCCAUUUUUCUGGUUUAUUCAGCAGUUUAGUCUGUGUUGUUCUUUUCUGUUUUCUCCUGUAAGAGACAAAUAUAAUUCAAUCAGGACCACUUCAGUCAAAAGAAUCACUAUUUGCACACAAUAAGUUUAACUUGGUGGUAUGGCCCUGUUCUGAGAGCUCCCUGUCCUUUAUGUGCAUAUAUGGAUUGUCAAAGCCUGAGGCAGGGAGAGCACACCUUUUUUCUAUUUCAGUCAGGACCACUUUAGUCAAAAUUAAUUAUUUAUUACAAGCAAACAUUUUUCCAUUGGUGGUAUGGCUCUGUUCUGAGAGUUCCCUGCCCUUCCAUGCGCUUGCAUGGAAUGCCACGGCUAUAAGAGGGGGGAGCCCCUCCCUUUUAUGCGUGUACAAGAAAAGCCAAGGCAGAGAAAGCAGCAGCAAAUAAAUUAAAAUCCCCCCACAGAACAGAGCAAGUAUCCAUGACGAUACAUAUGGGUGGGUUACAGAGUGGUUGCAGCAGGCAGAGUAGGCAGGAGAAGCAGUUUAAAUAGGAUGCCAUUUUGACAUUUGCCAAUAGGAUGUGUGGGGGCGAUCAGCUGAGCUGUCAGCUGACUGAGGGCUGGAUUAAGAUCAGCUGACUGUAGCCUUUAGCUUGACUUCGUGUCCUGCCUGAACUACCGCUAUGCUUUAUUUCACAUCAAUGGAUAGCUGAGGCAGGAAGAGCAACAGCAAGGACAUCUUAGACAUGACAGGCUAUUCUCUCUGUCCUCCAGGUACUCACAUAAAAGCACUAGCGGAAAAGUAGCUACAAAGCUGAAACUAGAAGCUAUUUGGCAUAAUAUGUGUUGUAUCAGCCAGCAAUGUAGGGCACCCAUUGCUGUUGAGAAUCAGGUUCAGUUCAUUAGUGACUACAGCAAUCAAGAUACUAUAACUGGGUAAAGUACAUACGUCACCAAGAACCAAAACCCAAAACCAGCAGAGGGCACUGCAUUGGCAUAGUUUUACAGCUUAUCAGUUAGCUAGUUCUAGUCAGUUUAUGCACUUUUCUUUACAAAAGUGCUCCUUGAUAUGCUGUUGUAAACACAAAAGGGCUGACUAAAAUAAUCCAAAACGUGAGUUUUGCAUUCGGGACAAUUUAAUGAAAACAUCAAACUGUAAAAGCUAACAGUGCUGAGUUGUAUCUGUUUCUUUCUCCUUUGGGGAGAGCAUGUGUUUUGAAAUAAUGUCUGAUUAUGAUUUCUCAAAUAAAAGCUUUUUUUUUUCCAAACUAAAAAUAGUUAGCUCUAUCUGUAAAAUGCUAGCUGUAUUUGCUUAGAUGUUGACACUGCUGGCUAAUGUUAUUCAUACAGUAUAUAGACUUAAAUUGAUGGUGGUUUUAAUUAAUGUAAAAUGUGUCAUACAAGGACUCAUGACAUUAAUAAAUACAUACAUAUAUAUAUAUAUAUAUAUAUAUAUAUAUAUAUAUAUAUAUAUAUAUAUUAUACAAAUUUAAUGAUAGGUGUUUUAUAAAAAGCAUUGUAAAGUGUUAUCAAAACAAUGAGUUGAGAUUUAUCAAGACUGAAAGCAACUGAUGUGAAUUUUUUUUUUUUGCCAUACCGCCCAGCUCUACUGAUAUAAACAGAGCACAGAACUGUCACCUGUACUGAUUUUACAGAAGAGAACUUUGUUUACUGAUAACACAAAAGUGUGCUUGUCGUUGUGGGGGAAAAUAGCAGAUAUGUUUGGAUGUUUUGGAGGUUACUAUGAGGCAAGAAAGCAGGAUAUGGUUGGAGAGGUCAGAUUGGGAUAAACUUCAUCAGGUCAUGGUGAACUGUAUUACAAUAACAGGAAAUUUGGCAGAGGAAGAUGGAUACAGAUGUGCUUCAGAGAUAUUGGCAGGGAAGAGUCACGUAGGUAACGUUCCCACGUGAAAGUGGGAAAUACACACACACGAAGGUAGCUUCGCACACACAUUUGGCAAAAGCUGAGAUCAGUGACGUCAAUGGAGUACUAUAAGAGGUCUGUAGUUUUUCUGUUCUGAGUUAUGUCUGUUCGAUUUGUUCAUUGAACUGUGUUUGUUGCUGUGAUCGGAAUAAAAUCCUGCGAGAGGCUGCCAGCUUGAUUCUGUCUUCGUGUAGUUCAUUCCUGCAUUUUUGCACCGAGGUCAUCUUCUAAAUCUGCUUGUGUGUGUGUGUGUGUGUGUGUGUGUGUGUGUGUGUGUGUGUGUGUGCGCGUGUGUGUGUGUGUGUGUGUGUGUGUGUGUGUGUGUGUGUGUGUGUGUGUGUGUGUGGCAAAGACAACAGAGGGGGAGCUGUGUGAGCUAAUGAACAACCCCUUUGGUUACGUUGAGAAUGAGACAGAUCAAGAACAUUCUGAGCCGAGGACAAAAUACUUUCUACCAGAAGAUUAUUUUUCAUACAUCUAAAAUUUUAUAACAGUCUAAACAUAAAGAUUACUCAUGAAAUAAAAAUAAAGUUCUCAUAGUGUGUUAAUGUGACAGUGUGACUGAGGCAUGAUGGCACAAUGAAAGACAAGAAUCUUGAGCAAUAAACAUUCAUUUUGUGAAGAAACCAUUACAUGUUCUAAUCAUUGAAGCAGUAAUUUAAUGGAUAUUUGUUGUAAAACUUUCAUCAUCCUCAGAGUUGUACAUCUUUUGUACUGUUAUUGACAUGAAUGUUGUGAUCAUUAUUCAUUAAUAUUAAUAGAUUAGCACUGUAACCAUCUGUUGUGGACCUUAUAAACAUGUUAAAUCGUCUCUGUAGAGCAUAUAUGGUCAUAUACAGUCAUUCUUUAAAUGUGUUCAUAUUUUGCACUUCUGGUCAGACUACAGACAGUAGACCAGACCCAUGCACCCAUAAGAAUAUAAUCUAAGUCUAAUGAUCUGUACACUGGACUUGCAAUCAUAUACAAAUACAAUGUUAUAAACCACAAUAACAUCAAUCUAUCACAAAUAAAACCACAAGAAAACAAUGCAACACUAAAACCAUGCUGUGACUUCAUGCCUCAGAUUCAAAUUAUGUUUGAUAACAUUACAAUUUUACUAUUUACAAUUGAUCUAGAUAGAUAGAUAGAUACUUUAUUAAUCCCAGAGGAAAUUCAGAAAUCUAAGGAUUUAAAAAUCUAGACAUAAAUGAUAAAAAAUAUGUAUUAAAAUGAGAAGAAUAUAUACUGUAUGUUUAAUGCAUGGACAUUAAUUAACUAAUUUAGGAAUAAUAUUUGCAGAUUUUUUUAUGCCAACAAAAACAUGAUAAAUGUAAAACUCAAGAGUUUGUUACCUGCAGAAGAAAAGAGAUGUGUCCACUCAUCUAGACUCUGACUGAAGUGAGCCCUAGUGGCACUUUUCCAGAUUUUUUAUACUGUACGGAUGACUUUUUACUUUCACUUUCACAGAGGUGGUUAGGUUUUUCCCUGAAACCACGUGAACACACGCCCGCAACACGCACAGCUGAAUUAGUGUCACAUGUAGGCUACGUGGCUGGAGUGGCUGAUCAGGAAAACGGAUACAUUUCCCAGUGGACCGGGCUGAGUGAAAGGCAGGGAAAGACAGCCAAGGGAAUGAGGCGUUGGACAAGGAGUAGGUGAAAAAUAACAUACCAGAGAGAAUUACGUUUUUGUCUUUUGCACACAGAAAUAUGCACCCCGGAGCAAAGCAAGGAGUAAGAUUUAGACAAGAUUCUCCUUAAAGUUCUGCCUCUUUUCAGCUCUCCUCUCACUGCAAACCAUAGACUGUAUAUAAGAUGGACACCCUGGUUCCGCCUUCUGCCUGUAUACGGAUUUGAGGCCAAAAAGCUCUCGGUAAUUCCGGGUUUUUCUCCACUUCCUUGAAACCAGAGCUGUGCAGUAGCGUUGUGCGCAUUCGGCCGCGCAGUCGCCAAGAGUCCCUGUGAUGACGCUUGGCUCAAACAGCGUAUCCCCCGGGUGAGCUCCGCAAUCCCUGAACGCCCAUAGGCUGUACCAGGUGUCAAUCAUAGAAAACAUGAACCCCCUAAUAACUUUUAAAAUCGGAGCUGUACAGAAAAAAAAGGACUUGGGCACAAACCAGUCUUACAAUAACUACAUGUCAACAUCACAAGCAGGGGGGAGAAAAAUGUAUGUUCUGUGUAAUAAAUUUUUAAAGUUUGUCCACAGUCCCAUAAGCUUUGCUGACGGAGGCGGGAUUUAUGGCCUGUACUGCAGCCCACCAUCAGAGGGUGCUGUUCUCGGAGUGGCUUCACCCAGCGAGGAGGCAGACUCUGUCCAUCUUAUAUACAGUCUAUGCUGCAAACACACUCCUCUGUCCGUCCUCCAUUGUAUACCCGUGAUUUUGAAUCAGAAUCAUACCUUAACAGUCUUUGUGAUAAAUCUUUAUCUGUUCUUCCAUGUCCACCUAUCUCUCCCUGUAGGGGAGACCGGGGCUUGUUGUCAUAUGGGUAAGUUGUCACAUUGCACUUAUCUUUGCCACCAGAGGGCGCAACUAAAAAGUGGAAUACUAGUUUUAUUUCUUUACAUGGUCGGGUUCAUGUCCUGUCUGAGAAGAGAAGAGCACAUUGUGAGCUGAGAUGAGAUAAGCGCUAAUUAACCAUUUUUCAUAACUCAAAGUAAAAAAAUUAACUUUGUAUAUUUUAAGAUAACCUUCUUCCAGAUAAAAAUCCUAGCAGUGAUACAUGUGGACUUGUUAGAGGAGAGAUUAAGGCAUCCUGUCAUACUUCAGUCAUUGUUCUGUUUUAAGCUAACUUUAAGCUAGAGCUAUAACUAGCAAAUAUGUUAGUUUGGGGCAACAUGCCGCAAUCAUUUUGGGAUCAGUUGUCACAUGUUUAAAAGGGAUUAAAAUCAACAUAGAGAGUCUGCUUAUCAGCAGUUGUCAUAUUGAAACUGACUGACAGCUCUUCAAACUCCAGAGCAUGUUGCAUAAUAUUUUAUGUUAACGUUUGUUCAAUUACUUUUUCUAGCUCAAUGAUAAACAUUUAAUAUCCCUGACUUUGGUGUACACUUUCAUGUAAAAAUGAAAGAACAACAAUAAGAACAACAAUAAUUUUUUCCUUGUUUUAUUAGCUGCAAAAUCCACUGCGACAUCUUACCCCAUGUAAUGAGACAACUUAGGGCAACAUGUCACAUGUUCACACUCUCUUUUUAAUUGCUUAUAACUCUGCACUGACACAAGAUAUGAAAAUGACAUGAAUACGAAAUAUAUACCUGAGACUUUGGUCUUUCAUCUGGUAUACAUUUUGUUUUUAUAUGAUGUACUGAUUCAAAGGAAGAGUGUAAAAAGUGUGACAACAAGCCCCGGUCUCCCCUAUCCCCCUUUGUCAGUCCAUCACAGUCUAUACAGUCCAUAUACAGCCAGGUGAAAAUAAAUCUUUGUUAGUGAGCUACUUGGCCCAUAUUUAUUGAACAUAAAUACAUACACUCAUAUAUUGUUUUCUUUCAACUGAGGCUCAUUUUUUGCCACUUCCACUUUCUUUUUCUUUAGGUUGUCAAUCCUUAGUCAGUUUAGUGUCUUAGGUAAAGCACAUAUUUGCAGAUGUCACAUAAACAUAGAUGAAUAACUUGUAGGUCUUUGUGAUCCUUGAAAGCUAUAGUUGUAAACUUUUCCUCAUUCUUGUGGCUUUUAUGACAGGUCAAUAUCUGUUUCACUUUAACUCAUAGCAGAUCUGCAGUUUUUAAUUUGUGGAACAAGAGAGUGACACGCUCCUGUGUGCAGACACAGAAAAUGUCUUUCUGAUGACUGUGAUUUAAAAAAGAAAAAGUAUUUUAAGCUAACUUAUAAAAUGAUAUCUCUACAACACAAAAUCAUAGACAUACAAGCCCAUGGUAACUGAAAGCCUUUGGGGGAGAUGUAAAAUGCACAUAACUCAGCAGACUUCAAUCAUUUCAUUCUAGUAUUGUGGCUAUUAUGUUCAGCACCUGUGCCAGUUGUAACAUAAUAAUGGGGGCUCAUCAGGGAUCAUCAGUUUUUGUUUAUCUUUGGUGUUUUCACCCCAGUUUGUAAAAACUGAACCUUUUGUUGAUGUUUGAGGUGUGAUUUUGAACACCGUGGCAGUGAAUUACUGUGAUUGUCUCUCCUAAUAAGCACAUGGUGAUUAGAGAGUCUUUGUGCAAACUUUGAUCCAAGUGAUUUCUCCUUGGUCAGUGAGGGAGUGGGCCAGCUGGGCUGUACUAGUUUGUCCGUCCAACAGCCUACUCAUUUGUUAUUUUACCUUUUUUUUUUUCUUUUGAGAGUGGAGACUUGACUGGGCUCAGGUCCUUGGGUGUCUUUCUGAGGAGAACCCAAGGUCAGGUUUUAAAAAAUUUUCUUGAGCCCUGCAGGCCUCAAUGGUUAGCUUUGGAUUGAGCUGGGCAGGUACCAGGAGGAUUGCUUUUGUGGUAUUUCUCUAUGGAGAAAUUUGAGAAAUGUCUCUUUUAGUGGCAUUUGUGCAACUCUUUAAGCUAUAGGAGACAGAUCUUUGCUCAGUUGCAGCUCAUUAUGGUUUAACUGUUCAAGGCAACCUCAGAAAGUUGGCUUCAAAAUCUUUAAUAGGUUUGUUGAUAAGAGCAUCUUGUGUGAGAAAGUCAAAAUGCUAAUAGAGGCAGCCGCAGAAGUUACUGUAGCGUCAUGUUUGAAAGAGCUUGAGUUAAGGCUGCAGUUAAAGAGAAUUGAAUGAGGAAUUUACACCAAGGAAAGAAACAGGCAAGAAUGUAUGAGCUUGAGGGUGAAAAAAUGUGUCUUGAUAAUUUAAGAGCGAAAAGAGACAGGGAUUUUUAGUAAGAAAUCUGGCGUCCCUUGCUCAAACAAAUUUGAUGUUGGCAGGCAUAUUCGUUUGGUCUCCCCUUUUAAUUAAAAGAUGCUGAAAAGUACUUUUCACACUUUAAGGUUGAUCGUCUCCCAGUCAGAAGAUGAGUUGUUUGAUUCCAGAGCUGCUGAAGUGUCCUUGGGCAUCAUUCUUUACAUCACCUGCCCCCUUCCAGUGGUGUGAGAAUACAAUUAGUCAAAAGCUGAUGGGCUCUAUACAUAGCAAACUCUGAUAUCAGUGUGUGAAUGUGGUGAGAAUGUGACAUGUGGUGUAAAGCUCUCAUCACGUUUGUUCCGUUUGAGUCUUUUUUCAGUGUCAAUGUGUAUCUUUUCGUAAAGCUAUGACCUCUGUCUGACAUAUUUCAAGGAACUGAACCUUUAAACCUCUCUAUAAGGGGAAACCACUUCACACAUCGACUCAACAACCAGUCAGAUCGAAAUUUGAAACAGGAAGUGGUCGCUGCUGACCUCACAUACCCCAUGUUUUUUAAGUUUGGUGUGAAUGCUGAUACUCUCAGGUCACAACCCCUUAAGUUUUCUGUUUUCUACUUUUGUCUUUCACUUCUUGAUUUGUUUUUAUAUAUCAAGAAGUCAAGAUUUUUAUGCAACCUUUUGUUUUGCACUUACUAAGUUUUUCCAGGGAUUUUAGUGACAGGAUCUAAGGCUAUGUUCACACUGCAGGUCAAUUCCAAUUUUUUAACCAUAUGUGACACAUAUCGGAUUUUUUCAUGUAAGUGUGAACAGUGCAAUUCUAAUUUUCUAAAAUCCGACCCAGGCCUCUUUUGUAUGUGGAUAUAAAUCGGAUAUGUAUCUGAUGUGACUGCAGUGUGGGUGCUCAGGUGCGUUCAUCCGACCUAUACGUCAUCAAUAUGCGUCAAACGUCACCAUUGUUCGACAACACAAACAGGCGCGAAAAGCAAUUUGUGCUUUGUGCGCAUGUGGGUCACUUCACAGACGCAUUCCGUUCACAUUAGAUGCUACAUUCGUUGUUGUAAUGCAAGCGACCGCACAAAAAGAUCGGAUUUAACAAAAAAUCCGAAUUGUGCAUCAUAACCUGCAGUAUGAACGUAGCCUAACAAAAGGUGUGGGAAGACACAAAGAUGUCUGAGCACUUAAAUGUAGAGAAAAAAAGUAGAAAAUCAGACUAAAGAAGGCAUCUCAAAUGUUUGUUUGUUUUUUAAGCUGAAGCCCCUAAAAAGCUGGGGUAACAUAAAAGCCAUGCCAGGUAUGUCAACCCCAAUUAAAUCAGCUGUGACAGACAACUUCUUACCUCAUGCUUGCCUCUUAAAAUCAUAGGUUAGUUGUUUUAGAUAUUUAGAAACUGUGUGGACAAAUUUCAAGUUCAACAACAACUUCUAAAUAAUUUUCUUCUGCAUAAAGUUGUAAAGAACUUGUGAAUUUUUAUUAUCUACAGUAUGUAAUAUCAGUAAAAGAUUCAAAGACUCUGGAGAAAUCUCUGUAAGAGACAAGGAACAAAAAUCAAUACCAGCUGGCUCUGAUCUUCAUGAAUAAUCAUGACUCUGUAGUGUAAAUCACUGCAUGGUUGUAUUAUGAUCAGACCUGAGAAAAGGGGGUCUAGGUAGUGUUGGAUCGAAGCACUAGUGCACCAACCAGUCCAAAAGUUAAAUGGGUCUAAAGUGUGUUGAAAGCCUCUGAAUAUGUUGUUUGGUGUUUAAAAUGUUGGGUGCACUUAAGUAUUAUAAGUUUCAUGUCUUAAAUUUUAAAGUUGCUAAUGGAGUUGCUUUUUUGCAAAUCAGUUUUCAGACUUUGACGAUACUAGAUAAGUAGCCUACUUAAGAUCUAAACUUUAUUCUACAGCCUUUGCCCCAACACAUGUCCAUACAUAAUCAACAUUCACACACACACACACAGAAACAGCUCUGUAUUCAGUGAUCUUUAUUUAAAAGGCAAUCACUACAUUUAAUGUAAUGACACUGUGAGCAGCGUACUGAGCAUGUGCAGUGUGUGCAUGUGUGUGUGAACAGGAGCAGGUAGGAAAACAUGGUAAGCAUCUUCAUCAUUUUUAUCAUCAUUGAUAUUAUCAUGAUCGUCACCCUCCACUGCAGUGUGUGUUUGUUUACAUUCAACACCAUAAACAUGUUAAUAUUUAAGCAGAAGAGCAUGCCUUUUCUGUAACACUUGUUACAAAACUUUUUUCAAGCGCUGACGUGUUUGUAGUUCUUAGCAGUGUUUCUGAAACACAUGUAGUCCUGCUGAAGCUUCACUUUGUGAUAAGAGUGUAUAGACAGGCUGUGUGUUUAGACACAGUAAGUGUGUGUUUAAGCGGAGACAGUGUGACAUUCAUGUGUGUGAGAAACACAGAGAUUAAUAUCACUCAGUACAAUCAGGGGCACAGUUAACAUUUAGAUUCAUGUGCUGUCACCUCCCUCCUGAUAAAAUGUUUGUAUCUGUCACUCAGGCAGCCAACAUGGCUGAAAAUUGUCAACAUGUAGUUCCACUGGUGGCCACUAGGUGCUGUUUGUGAAAAGUCUCCACAUUCACACUGUUUCAGUGAAAAAGUCCAAACUUUUACAGGAAGUUUGAUUUCUCCUCUUUAGUGAAGGCAGAGACACAGAGUCCAUCAGAGAGAUUAAAGGUAAUUUGAUUGACAGGUGUCUCAGCCAAUGAGGUGUCCAUCCAGGAUCCUUUAAGUCUGUUCACUGGUUUUUAUUUUCCAGGAUUUUUCUCCAGGUUCUUCCAGGUGAUCAAACCUCUGUGUGUGUGAGUGUGUGGUGAUGCUGGGGUCAAGUACAAGCAGAGGUCCAGAAUAAACUUUCACAGUGACAGCAGACAGCUUUAUGACCUCAUCCAUGACCUUACAUAAUUCAUGGGACACGUCCCUCCUCUUAUGGCUUUACUUCAUCCUUCAUCCAUCGUAUUACAAUAACACAAGUAUUAUUGUCCUUUCUGCAUGUGAAUGCAGCACAGACAGACAACAAACACGAGGACAACAAGCCCUGAGAUAGAGUUCAAUGGGGUCACAUGAUGCAGGUGUGACGGGGACCAUGCACAGACAACAUGAGGCAUGUUUUACAACAUUCAUAUUGAAAGUCUCAUUAUGAAGCAUGACAACAGACAUGUACAUGAAGUGUUCAAAUCGCACAUUUCUUUUUGCUCUUCUUUUUUUUUAUUAGUGUGUUGAGCCAAAACAAAGUCUCAGCAUCAGAACUCAUCUGACUCAUAUCAGUCAGCUCUUUGGCAUCCAUUAAAUUGAAACAUCAAGUUUUGAAAAUGUACUGCUUCUCUCAGUGGUUUCUUUUUCCUGCCUUCACGCAGUCCCCUGACCUGCUAAACCGAGUGAGUUUGAACUUUCCUGACUGAUAGCAAAUGUACAGUACCUCACUUCUGUUUAAGAUCAAUUUCAGCUUGGGACUAGUUUCAUGGAGACAUGGCCAUCAUUUUAUCAGUGAUGAAAUGUGGGACUCACUAAUAGAUUGCUUUUCAAAUCUGAGAAAAAGAACCAUAAGUUUGAGUAUAAAAUCAAAAAUUCUGGGCUGCACUAUCUGCACACAAGCUCAAACGGGGCCAAAGUUUGAACCAGGGCUGUCACAAUAUUCCGUAAUAGAUCAUAACUGUCUUUAUUUGGAUUCAAUAUCAUUGAACGCAGUCCUAACAUUACAUGUUGUUCAAAAAUUGAUUUGUUUCAUCACUUGGACUGAAACUGGACAUUUUAAAUGCCAAGCGUUCUGUGCAUGCUCCAGAG